AAAGGGGUUGGGGACGGUGGCCCCGAGUGGACAGGCGCCGCAGCGUUGCUCGACCCCCCCCGUGCCCUUCCGCGCAAGCUUGUGUGGGCUCAGUUCACGGUAGCCAUUAUUAUUUUUGGGUGUAGACUAGGGUGAUCACCGUACAGUGAUGUGGAAGGCCAGGGGAAGAGAAUGAUGAACUCAGAGAAAGCGGGUGAGAACAGCCUCCCCUCGGCAAGGGGAGCUUCCUUAGUAGAUAAAUCGGGAACCGUGCACCUGGUGGAGGGAACGGCGUGUUCAAACACUCAGAGGCGGGAAAGAAGCGUAGCUCGGGAGAAUGCGAAAGGCCUGCCGUGACCUGUCCAGCAUGCAUUGUCCAUCUGCCUUAAACAUUGACAAUGUCCCAAAGCAGAGAAUGAUGCCCUGACAGGUAGGGGCGUCGCCUCCUCCUGUAUCAGCAUUUCUUUAAAGAUAAGCAUUUCUUCCCGGAAAUGUAGGAUUAAUUACUGACCUGCUGGUCUAGCAAAUCAUCUCAUGACUGUAAUAAAAGAGAUAUUCCGGUCAUA